AUGGACUCAAGGCCCAAAGGAAAUAAAAAAAAAUCAAGCUCUCUAAUUCAUUUGUUUCAAAACAAACACAUCCUAUCUCUUAGUCACAGAAGUAAAAAGAAACAAUACAACAACAUUCAAAACCAAUUCACGAAAAAGGGGAACGAGAUUACCAAAUGGAGCCGACGGAGAAACCUUGGACGAAAGGAGGGUGCGAAGACGAUUUUGAGGAGCGGUCGUCGGCAUGAUGCUGAUGCUGUUGCAAUCGCGAUUGCUGAUCGGACGCACGUGUGUGGCUCUGGGUUCCCUGAAGGGGUCCAGUUCGGUUUUAUGCGGUCUGGUGAUGAAGUUGUAGAUGUUGUUGUUUAG